UUGGCAUCAGAAUCGCCAGUAGAUACAGAAUCAACCUUCACUUGGCGAAAAAAUUGGAUUUUGCCGAAAGUCAACUUUUCCUCUGGAAAAAUCUAAGGAAAAACAAGAUCUGCCACUGCGGCCCCAGGAAAAAAUAUUGUUUUUAUUUCUGCAUGUCUGGGCCUCCGAGUGUUUCAUUAGCUUCAGAAUUGUCCAACAUGUACAAAUAUUUUCAUGAGGAAAAACUCAUGAAAUUUUCGAGACUCUUAUUAUAUAAAGAACAUCGGCUCUCCCUCAUCAUUCGUGAUAAAGCGACUGCCUUCAAGAAAAAAACCUAGGAAAAUCUUGGCAUCAUGAACUACCUCUCCAUCUUCAUGUUAAUUGCGCUGCUGGCGGCGGCUGUUAGCGGACAACCCUGCAAGGGACGUGGACUUCCGUGCAUGAGACAUCACGAGUGUUGUUCAACCGUGUGUCACAGGCGCAGAUGUCGUUAAUAAAUGAAUGUCCUGACUCCGAACACUUUGGGCAUCCGAAACAUUGACUAUUAUGAAAGGAUUUGUCUGUUUUUCAAUUGAAUAAACAUAUAACUGCAAUU